rnacentral:lncRNA from 1 species
UCGGCCGAAGAAUUGGUUCCUGAGGAGAGGAGAAGAAAAACUGAAGCUCCUCUUAUUGCUAGUGUUAAUGUUAGAGUUAAGGUUAGGGUUUUUCAGGGGCUUGAGAGAAGUGAGAGAGAUGUGUGAGGCUAUGGCCAUCUCCAUUGCUCGCUCGAUCUCUCAGGCGCUGUAGAGAGAGAGAGAGAGGGCAAUGGAGGAUAGGGGUGGAGUGAGAGGCUGUUGUUGAAACUUUGAAUAUUUGAAGACGUUAGGAGCAAAGAUCAGAGGCUGUGUUUUGUUUGGCUGUAAUAACGUUGCGUCUCUCUCUCAACCAAGAAAUAUACUACAAAUGCCGGUAUAAAGCGUAGUGGUUAAGGACAAACUCUCAAGAUGACGGAGCCUUGUGAGGUCUCGGGUUCGAUUCUUUAUCACGACUGCUGCUUAACCGCGUUUACAUUACGUGGAUGUGAAGAGUUAGCUACCACAUGCAACAGAUUAAUCUAAAUUUCAAGAUACUGGUGUUAAUCUAAAAAAAAAUAUACUACAAACUUAAAAAAUCACUAGAUUUAUAAUUUCGUGAUCCAAGAGGGUAUAUUGGGAGAUAUUUUGGUGUCACAUUCCUACAUACCUGAAGUGUUACUUAGCAUUUUUGCAAUAAAUAUCGGUCUGAUACGACCUUUAAUCACGCAAAGUUAGAAAAAUUGAAGAAGAAGAUAGGAGAUUGAUGAAUUACGUCUUGGAGAUAAAAGUGUUAUUGUAGUUUACCCGAGUUCCGGUUGAGUCUCUCUUUUUAUAAAAUUUGUUAGUAUUUUAAGUUUUUGUUUUUUUUUUCUCCUAUUGAGAAUGUCACGUGAACUUGUCAUUCCUGAAAUCUUUAGAACGGUUAAGGCAAAGAAAUUGUAUCCGAGGAAGCUGCACUCAUAUACAAGUAUGGUUUUGGAGGAAAUCAUUCUUCAAACUCGACGAGUCCACUCCAAGUCUAUAAUGUGUCAAGAAAAUUGCUAGUUAAAAAUUUGGCCAACACCAUUUUUGGGGGUCCAAAAUGUAGGUGCCUAACUAGGCAAUUGUCAAUGGAGGUGCCUAACCAUUCCAAUUUUCUUUCUUUAGUCCCUAAUUUUUUCACACCAACCAUGGUUUUGAAUCCUAUAUAAACCAAACCCCUUAGCCCUCAGUUGUAAGAGCAUCAAUUGAGAGAGUUAGAGGAGUUUAAGAGAAAAGUCUUAGAGUGGGUUGUUGAUUGUAGUGUUUUAAACACUUGUAUAUUUUUUCUUCUCCCUUUAGUAAAACGAUCUGCAGCAGGUCCGGAGAGACGUAGGCACAAUUGUCCGACUCCGUUAUCAAAUUUGUGUGUGUGUUUUUUUCGCUAUUUUUUUUGCAUUCCGACUAUUUGACUUAUAGGAAAUCCUGCGUAAUUUUUUCCAACAACUGGUAUCGAGCCUUUGGUGGUGAUUCCUGUCAGUCGACAGAAACGUCCAAAGGAAGUCAAUUUGAGUGGACGAUGGCUGCAGGACGAAGUAAAGUGAAACUCGAAAAGUUCGGAUGCGCAGAUUCGGGUUUCUGGAAGAUGCAGAUCGAAGUUAUCUAUACCAGAAAAAGCUUUAUCACCCUCUCUCAAAAGAGGAAGCCAGAGGGUAAUGAAAGAUGGAAGACUGUCCUCCUCUUGACCGACAAGCCCCGGAGUUAUCCGAUGACGCUAUCACUACCCCCCCCUCGCAAUGUUGCUUUCAACAUAGCAAAGGAAAAGACCACGGCAGGUCCUUAUGGUCGGUCUUUUCCAGUAUGUAUGAGAAGCCAUCCGCCUCUAACAAAUCACUUGAUGAGGGCGGUUAUUCCAUUUGGCGGAUUACGGAAGGCGCUCGGUGCUAACAGCUCAUGAACUCAAUACAGUCACAACCAAUUGAGCUUCAUUGAAAUUGAAUUUAUGAAGAAGUACGCGCAUUGGAUACUUUGUCUUCUCUCCCAGAAAGUUGGAAGGCUACUUGGUCACGCUGUGAGUAGCUCGUCGGAAGAAAUAAGGUAAAAUUUAACGAUAUUCGUGAUCUGUUCUCAGUAAGAGAUCCGACGGAGAGAGUCGGGUGAAUCCUCACCUCUUCAUUUUGCUACAGGUCACGAGGAGAAAUCAAUUUCAACCAGAGGGAUGGAUCAUGGGAGAUUGAACUUACGAGGGUAGAUCCAGGCCAGAUGUCCAAUCCAUGCAAUCCCAAUAAGUCCCAUAGCUCGAAGACUUGUCGAGUGUUGUGGUGGAAUUAUGGGAAUACCGGGCAACUACAAAAAAUCAGUGCAGGAGUACACCGAAGGACCAAGAGCGAAGGCAGAGGCAAAUGUUACUUCCACCUCAGGAAAAGAUGAUGCGUUGAUAUGCUCUUUGGAAGCAAGGAAAGUCUUGGGUAUUUAGACUCCUGUAGCAAUCAUUCCACGCUACUUCGCAGAAGAAUUCUUCGAGAGUUACUGUCCCCCGGACCUUGGAAAUGUAUACCUUGGGUGAUGAUCGCCUUGUGCUAUUAUCGGUAAAGGUGUAAUAAAGAUUAAAUUGAAUCGGUCUGUUUGGAGCUGAAGGAUGUCAGGCAUAUUCUGACCUGAUAACAACCUUAAUCCGUUGGGCAGUUUAGGCUACGAAGGCUACACUACGAUAUUCCAUGGUGAAAACUGGAAGAUUUCAAGGGUGCAAUGACGGUUGCUCGCGGCAAAAAGAGUGGACUCUUUCCAUUACAGCGGAGGAGCGCUGUUCAAUGGCGUGCAGUUGCAGCAAGGAAACGAAAAGUCCAAUAUGUGGCACCAGAGACUAUGGCCAUAUGAGUAGAAGGGGAUGAAAAUUAUGCACUCCCAGGGAAAACUUCCAAGUCUCCAAUCAAUUGAGAUUCAACAUGGGCCAACUCCCAGGCCAGUCAGCAACAACCCUUGGCAAUCACGUUCGCUUAUCCAAGGAUCAGUCCCCUCACAGACAGAAGAAGAGAAAGAUUUUCUUGGCUAAGGUUCCUUACGCCUCAGCCAUGGAAGUUGGAUGUACGCAAUGGUCUGUACGAGACCAGAUAUUGCACAUGCAAGUGGGCAGUUGGUUAGCAGGUUUAUGUCAAAUCCAGAAGCCCAUUGGAAGCUUUAAAGUGGAUUUUAAGUUCCGACAAGGCACCACAUAGAAUGUGGGUACUUUGGUAAGGGUGAUUAAAAGGACAAAGGCUAUGUAGACGCGACUUUUGGAGGUGACGUCGAUCACUCUAAGAAGCACCCCCGUUUAUAUCACUGUUGGUACUACACUGUUUAGUUUGGAUGUCGCAGUUACAAAAGAUUGUUUAUCUCUAUCGGCACUACAGAGGCUGAGUAUGUAGGGCAGUCAACUAAAGCAGUAAAGAUGAUAUGGCUUCCAAAGUUUUGUGUACGAGUUGGUGGAAUUCAAACGAAGGAAGAAUGUUUUGCACAAGGUGAUAGUCAGGUGCGAUACACUUGGCGAAGAAUUCGCAUUUCAUUCCAGAACCAAGGCAUAUUUUACUUCGUUAUCACUUCAUCAGAUCUUUAUUGGAAGAGUGUUAAUACUAGAGAGAUCCAAGGAACAAGAAUCCAGCAGAUAUGGUUACAAGACGGUUGCUAAUCGACAAACUGAAGUUAGUUCAACGUCAGUUGGCUUGCAAGAGUAACAAGAACCGUAGUAUCUGUCUGCAAAUAACAGGUGUGAAGACGUUGAAAUCAGUCGCAGUGGGAGAUUGUCAAGAAAAUUGGCUAGUCAAAAAUUUUGGCGCAACAACCAUUUUUGGGGGUCAAAAAUGUAGUGCCUAACGUAGGCAAUUUUGGUUCAAUGGGAUUUGGCCUAACAUUGCAAUUUUUCUUUACCGAAUUUUUACACCAACCAUGGUUUUGAAGCCUAUAUAACCCCUUAGCCCUCAUGUGUAAGAUCACUCAAAUUGAGAGAGUUAAGAGCGAGUUUAAGAGAAAAGCUUAGAGUGGGAUUGUGAGUUGUACGUGUUGUAAACACUUGUAUAUUGUUUCCCUUCGCUUUAGUAAAACGAUCUGGCAUCAGGUCCGGAGACGUAGGCACAAUUGGCCUAAAAAAAAAACAAAAAAAUAACUCCGUUAUCAAUUUGUGUGUGUGUUUUUCGCUAUUUUUUGCAUCCAUUACUAAUUUGACUAUAAGAAAUCUGCUAAUUUUCGUUUCCGCACCAUAAUGGCCAUACCAUUUUAGGUCUUUAUUGUGUAUAUUACUUUUUAGGCCUAACGAUAGGUAGUCUCAUGGGAUGGAGGUUGUCCCAAUCACGCAAGUUGUGAUCUACCACCGUCAAAUGUGUCAAACGCCAAGCUUAAGUUGUGUUGUAUGUGUAUAUUUUACAGCUUAUAAUUCACAGACCCACUAUACGACGAACACAUCCCGUUUAGAUGCCUUUGUAUUUCUAUUAUUGCCUCUUUUACCAUAAAUUCAGUUAUAGUAACAUGAUAGCAUCGAUGUUCAAAUCCUUAACUAUAAUGUUUGGAAAAAAUGCAUAAAUGUGAGCGAAUUAUUGAGUAUAGCUGCAACGAUCUAUAUUUAUACAAAAAUCCCAACUAAAAGGGGCGGGGGAGAAGGCCGACGGGUGGGGGGGGGGCGGACGCUGCGAAAUGGUGGUCAGUGCAGCGAAUUUCAUCCUGCCUCUACUCUCAGCUGGGGGGGGGGGGGGGGGGGGGAGGCGGGUGGGGGAGGCGGUGGCUUUUUUAUUUUUUUGUUGGGGUCGACAUUAUAAGUUAUAACCUGUCAAAUAAAGGCUUUGUUGGAUCCUAAAAAUGGAAAAUAAUAAUUUUCUUCUUUUUCGUGUUUGGUUUUUAGUUUUAGGAGUGAAAGCGAGUAAAAAAUUAUUUUCUUUUCUCAUUAAUUUAUUUUUUUCACAUUAUUUAUUUUUCUUUCCCUUUUUUUCGUAAUUAUUUAAGUUGUUUUAUCAUUUUCUCUCAUCUUCCUUCAAAAAAAAAUAUUUCCUUUCUCAUUUUCAUUUCCGUACAAAACCAAACAUUACGAAAUAACCAAUUUUCAUUGAAAUCUUUCUUUUAAUUAUUUGGGUUAAAUACACUGAUCUCCCCUGAGGUUCGGGGUUAAUACAUAAAGUACCCCUGAUGUUUAAAAAAUUACAAUGACCUCCCCUGAGGUUUGAAACUUGUAACAAAUUCUCCUAUUUUACACUGACCACCCCUGAUGUUCCAGAUUAAUACACAAAACACUCCUAAUGUCAAAUCAAUAUCAUUUUUCAAAAAGAAAAAAAGAAAUAAUUUUAUCAAGGGUGCUUUUGUGUAUUAACCCAUAACUUCAUGGGUGGGUGGUCCAUGUAAAAUGAAAAAAUUUGUUACAAGUUCCAAACAUCAAGGGAGGUCAUUGUAAUUUAUUAAACACCAGGGUACUUUGGGUAUUAAUCCAAAACCUCAGGGAAGGUUAGUGUAAUUUACCCUAAUUAUUUUAUCUUCCUCUCUUUUUAUUUCUACAAGUUCCAAACUUGGCUUAAAUAGACUCACUAUGGGCUAGGUAAUGUAGUUGUUUUAGUUUGUGAAUUUUUUAUUUUUAAUUAAUCUUUUUAACCGUUUGAUGAAAAAUUUAUACUUUUUCAGCUCCUCUUAAUAAAAAGAAUCUUAGAAUAUAAAAAUUAGGAUCAAAUUUGAAUAAAUAAAUAAAUAAAUUUUCUUGUACUGAAAACGGAAAAAAUGACAAACUAAACAAAACUAAUUUAGCACAUUUCAUUUAUAUCGUAAUUGUAUAAAGAACUCAAAAAUUUUAAAUAAUAAAUAGGUAACCCCGAAAUGAGGCAACCCCGCGACGAGAAAGGUGUCAAGCCGCACUAAUGGAUGAGUAUCUAGCCUAUCCUUGUAGAACAAGCGCCAUGAGCGGAGGAGCCCUAGGGUUCUAGAAUUUGAAGGCAUAGCAUACUGCGAUGUGUGAUUUGAUUGAAAUUCUGAUUUUACCGAUUCGGAACGAGAAACUGUCAUCCCAUACAAUCCAAUGGGAUGCAUUGGACCCGAGAAAAAAAAAAAAAAAAAAAAAAAAAAAAAAAAAAAAAAAAAAAAAAAAAAAAAAAAAAAAAAAAAAAAAAAAACAUGUCUCUUUGGGAGAACAUUAAACCAGAAUUUUAUAUGGCUGGGUUACGGUUAGGCCCAAUGGCUCCUUAUGAAUAAACAACGUUGCUAUUUUCAAGGGCAGUGGCUAAUGGACAUUGGUGGGAAAAUAUGAAGGCUAUGUUUGGAACUCGUGAAAAGAAAAAGAAAUGAAUGUAAAGGAGAAAAAAUAAUUGAAAGAAAAUUGAUUUAUUUUUCUUUGUUUAGUUUCGUAAGGAAAUAAUAUAUGAAAAUGAGAAAGAAAGUUAUGCUUUUUUGUUUUUAAAUAAAUAAAAAGAAAAAAAAAGAAUAGAGAAAGGAAAGAAUGAGUAAAGAAAAAUUCAUAAUUAGAAAGAGAAUAAUUUUUUAAUGAAGAAUGAGUACGUAAAAUUUUAAAAUGAGAAAGAUAAUAAAUUUUUAUCUGUUUUUUCUUAAAAAAUUAGAAACAAAAAAAAAGAGAAAAAUUAUGUCUGAGAGAGACUAAUAUGAAAAUCAUAAAAUUAACAGCUGGACAAACUUUCAGUAGUCCCGAUCAAAAAGACUCGAACUGACAAUUACUAAAGAAGAAAAGCAUGCAAAUGACAACAAUAUUGAUGAAACGGUGAUUAAACUAAAACAAUAUCAAGGCAAAGGUUUUAAAUCCACUCCUAUAAAAUAAAACGCUAGAUACUUGCAAUCACUUGCAAAUAUAUAUAUAAAAGUAAAUCCUUAAACAUACCAACAAAAUCAUUCUUAAGCUAUAUGAGAUUACUAUUUGUUCUAGAGUUCAACAUCUUGAUUGCUAUAAAAUACAAUUUGUAAUUCACAUAACCAUAUCUUUUUUAUAUCAGGAACAUGAGUAGGCAGGGAGCUCGAACCUCAACCGAUAAGCCGACUAGUAAGAUCGCUCAACUUUAUACCCUUCUCUAAUCAAUUAGUAAUGGACUAUUGUUAAUUGGCCCCUCAUUCUAAGAAGGGUACCUAAAUUCUAGUCCUUUAAUUUCCUAAUCCACACAUACCACCCCUCGAGCUACGAGGGUUUGAGAUGCGGCUAUGGUGCUCGAUUGUAGCUUAGUGUGCACUAUUUAAUUGAGAGACAAAAAUCUCUUUGUUUCAACCUUACUCACGAUAAUGUUACACAUUCAAAAAAUGUGUUAUCGUCGAAGUUUCAAUAACAGACCAAACAAAUACAAUCACCUAGCUCAGCCCAAAAAAAUAAAUUAACGUUCAAUGAAUAAAUUAAAGAAACAUCAAUCCAUCACUUUCACAUACCUAAGUUCCAAUGAAAUGGCCUAUACUUGUAUCUAAGUUUGUUAUCACAUAAUAAGUGCCCUAAUGUCACAUUCCACCUUUCACAUUCUACACUUCCAUUACAUCCCUAGAUUACUCUAAACAAAGGAUACUCCAAAUGUUCAAUUCUGAUUGGAUAGCUAAUAACCAAACAAUAAUUCGUGAAAGGAUAUGUCUUCUCUAAUGCCUGUUGCUUCGAAUUUUACUGUAAAGUUAGUC